rnacentral:rRNA from 1 species
GACAGGAGGUGCCAAGCGUUAGGCGGAAUCACUGGGCUUAAAGGGUGCGUAGGCGGCCAUGUAAGUGAGGUGUGAAAUCCCUCGGCUCAACCGAGGAACUGCGCUUCAUACUGCAUGGCUUGAGGGAGACGAGGGGUAAGCGGAACUGAUGGUGGAGCGGUGAAAUGACGUUGAUAUCAUCAGGAACACCGGUGGCGAAAGCGGCUACUGGGUCUGCUUCUGACGCUGAGACACGAAAGCCAGG